rnacentral:rRNA from 1 species
CAGCAGCCGCGGUAACACGUAGGUGGCAAGCGUUGUCCGGAAUUACUGGGCGUAAAGCGCGCGCAGGCGGUUUCUUAAGUCUGAUGUGAAAGCCCCCGGCUUAACCGGGGAGGGUCAUUGGAAACUGGGAGACUUAGAGUGCAGAAGAGGAGAGUGGAAUUCCAUGUGUAGCGGUGAAAUGCGUAGAUAUAUGGAGGAACACCAGUGGCGAAGGCGACUCUCUGGUCUGUAACUGACGCUGAGGCGCGAAAGCGUGGGGAGCAAACAGGAUUAGAUACCCCAGUAGUCCCUGUCUCUUAUA